CCUACGGGUGGCAGCAGUGGGGGAUAUUGGACAAUGGGGGAAACCCUGAUCCAGCGAUGCCGCGUGAGGGAAGAAGGUUUUCGGAUUGUAAACCUCUGUGGAGGGGGACGAUAAUGACGGUAACCAAGGAGAAAGCUCCGGCUAACUACGUGCCAGCAGCCGCGGUAAUACGUAGGGAGCAAGCGUUGUCCGGAUUUACUGGGUGUAAAGGGUGCGUAGGCGGUCUUGCAAGUCAGACGUGAAAACCACAGGCUCAACCUGUGGACUGCGUUUGAAACUGUGGGGCUUGAGUGAAGUAGAGGUAGGCGGAAUUCCCGGUGUAGCGGUGAAAUGCGUAGAGAUCGGGAGGAACACCAGUGGCGAAGGCGGCCUACUGGGCUUUAACUGACGCUGAGGCACGAAAGCAUGGGUAGCAAACAGGAUUAGAUACCCCUGUAGUC
rnacentral:rRNA from 1 species